rnacentral:rRNA from 1 species
AACGAACGCUGGCGGCAGGCCUAACACAUGCAAGUCGAGCGGACCUUUCGGGGUCAGCGGCGGACGGGUGAGUAACGCGUGGGAAUAUGCCCUUCUCUACGGAAUAGUCCUGGGAAACUGGGGGUAAUACCGUAUACGCCCUUUGGGGGAAAGAUUUAUCGGGGAAGGAUUAGCCCGCGUUGGAUUAGGUAGUUGGUGGGGUAAUGGCCUACCAAGCCGACGAUCCCUAGCUGGUUUGAGAGGAUGAUCAGCCACACUGGGACUGAGACACGGCCCAGACUCCUACGGGAGGCAGCAGUGGGGAAUCUUAGACAAUGGGGGCAACCCUGGUCUAGCCAUGCCGCGUGAGUGAUGAAGGCCUUAGGGUUGUAAAGCUCUUUCAGCUGGGAAGAUAAUGACGGUACCAGCAGAAGAAGCCCCGGCUAACUCCGU